CAGGGGGUGCUGCUGUGCACACUCCUGGGAAGGGGUUGGUUCCCAGAGGUGAUGCAUCAUGGGAAAUGGGAUGGGGUAUGUGCCCCCCUGCCCUCCAAGAUCUGUGCAUCCAUAGCAGGGCAUGGGGCUGCAGCCUUGCUGGACCAGCACUAGACUGAGGCAGGAACCACCUCAGUGGCCCAGCAGGCAGGAUCUGGCACAGGAGGGUGGAGAGGGCUGACAAGACUCAUUGCUGCUGUGGCCACCACCAGGACCCCUGUGUCAGCCACGCUGCCACGGAGACAUAGAAUUGUCAGGGGAUUUGCCCAUGAUCAGAGUGUUAGUGGCAGAGUUAGAACUUGGGUCAGAAACAGAAACUCCUCAAAGCACAAAUAGCACCAGUGCCGAGUCCGAGCCAUGAGCUUCUUGGGGGUUGGGUAGAGUAGAAGGGGCAGCAAAUUUUAAGGCUUUGCUUCAGCAUAAGUUUGGUGGGACUAGAUUUGCCUUUCAGUUGCAGGAACCGAACUAUAAGCUCCCAUUUGCCUAUGGGGCUUGCUCUGGUUAGCUCUUUUGUGCUAGCUGCUUUGAAUGCCUGCAACCAAGCCAUUGUGGAAUGGUCUCUUACCAAACUUCAGAUGUAGGUUGUUAGACCAGUGACAGAGAGGCCUUCUUUUUGCCCUGACUACUUCCCAUUCAGACCCAAAGGAAAAGCCUUCAUCCCAAACUGUUACAAAAAGCAGCAAACCAAUUAGAGAUCACCAUUAAAACUUCUUGCAUUUGGCACAGCUCCUCUCGAGUUCUUUACAUCACUCCUGAACAGGGUAGAAAGUAAAAAGCUUAUUCUCUCAUUCUAGCUCUUAGACUUCAUACUCACUUAUACUUACAGCUGGGUAUGGACACACAUAUUUGGAGUCCUUUCAAGAGGAACUCAGAAGGGCAGCAGCUAUUACAUUCUAAUUGUUACAUGCAGACAUUGGGAAUGAUACAAAUGUAACAAAAUCAGUGUUUGAAAUUGUAGCACUAUGUUACAUUUGAAUAAUUUCCAGCUUGUCAACAGGUAACACAGACUGUAACUGAAUAUAAUUAGAAUAUAACCCUAACCCUUGCCACAAAAGGAGUAUGCUAAUGAACCUUGCUGAUAGAUCUCUAAUACAGAGGAGGACCAGUAUCUACAAGAACUGGAGGAUGCUAUUGAUUUAUGUAACAGAAACUUAGUAAAAUUGGUAGUGCAAAGUUAUGCAUUUAUGGCUAAAUCUAAAAAAAAGGAGCUAAGUGCCAUAUUUAAUUGAAUCUGAUGAUUUCCACCCCCCCCCCAUUUAGCAUGGGGGGGGGCUCAUCUUAGAUUUGAGUAUGAGCCAGGCAAGCAGCUGCUGUAGCUCAGGAUGGGGCCAAGGUAGCUCACAUGGCAGGUGGAGAGUGGGGAGAAUGCAGGGGAAAUGUGGGGAAAGGGACCAUGCAGUAUAGGGGGAGCACAGGGGAAGAGGUGUGUGGUAUAGAGAGGAACACAGGACCGCGGUGGGAGAAAGGAUACAUCCUUCAGUACUGCAAAGGGGUACUUCCUUCAGUAUACUGCAAACCUUCUGAACUUCAUUACAUUCCAUUUCAGAGCCACUACCAAAAAAGUGGGGAAAAGGGCACAGGGGAAGGGGACUGCAGAGCAAGGGGUGUGCAGGGAAGGGGCACAGGGAAGGGGAGAGGCAGUCCAGGAGAGAGCGUGGGGGAAAAGGUGCAUGGUUCUGGCAGAGCAUGGGGAAGGUGUGCAGUGCAGGGGGAGCAUGAUGAAAAGGGUGUUGGGAAGGGAUGUGUAGAGCAUGGGGAAAGGGCUGCAUGGAGUGUGAGGAAAGUACACAGGGAAAAGGAAGCAUAGGAAAGGGGCAUACAGGGAAAGGGGGGUGGGGGAAGUGCGUGCAUGGAGUGGUGGGGGGGAGCAGCUUCAGUUCACCCUGAUCCCAAGUGGGGCUUGAGGCUGGAGCCAGAGCUGCCACUACUGCCUGGCCUGCCUGGGUGCUCCAUGUCUGCAUUAGAGAGAGUGCCAGGGCAGCUGCAAAGGUAAGAGCAAGGCAGACACCAGAGGGGGACAAGUCUUGUGGGGUGGGAAGGAAGCAAAGAGGCAGGCACAGGGGAGGCAAGUGGGAGGGGGGGAGACAAGGGGCAUGGGCUAGGCUGACUGCACCCCCUGCUAUAGUCUAUGCCCCCCCCCAGUACCCUCCUGUACUCUUACCCCCCCCCCCCCACUACCCUGCACCUGCAACCCCUAUUGUGUGCUGCCAAUGCAACCACCAUAGCUCCUGAAGACAGCUGCAACAUCAAUGUAAUGGUAAGUUUUUUGCAAGUAGUUUGAAACUUUGGAGGGAGUGAGUGGUUAUAUGACUUCCUUCAAUACUGCAAACUUUCUGAACUUUAUCACAUUCCAUUUCAGAGCCACUACCAAAAGUCCAAGGGCAGCAGGACUCUGCCUGCCAGACCUGACACCCAGGGUAUGUAGUGUCCUGGGUGAUAUUUAGGAAACUUUUGCAGGUGGAACUCACUGGGGAUGGUAGCCAUCCCACAGUCCAAUGAAGAGAGUGGAGUGCUGAACCCACCUUUUUUUUUUAUUUUUAUAUUUUGAAGUUGUAUAUAGUUAUUGUUGCUGCAGCAUUUUGAAUAAAGUGUUUUAUUUUGUUCUA